rnacentral:rRNA from 1 species
GACGUAGGGAGCGAGCGUUGUCCGGAUUCAUUGGGCGUAAAGCGCGCGUAGGCGGUUUGGUAAGUCGGAUGUGAAAACACGAGGCUCAACCUCGUGCGUGCAUCCGAUACUGCCCGACUAGAGGUAGGUAGGGGAGAUCGGAAUUCCUGGUGUAGCGGUGAAAUGCGCAGAUAUCAGGAGGAACACCGGUGGCGAAGGCGGAUCUCUGGGCCUUACCUGACGCUGAGGUGCGAAAGCUAGGGGAGCGAACAGG